UACACUCCUGCGGGAGGCAGCAGUGGGGAAUAUUGGACAAUGGGCGCAAGCCUGAUCCAGCCAUGCCGCGUGAGUGAUGAAGGCCCUAGGGUUGUAAAGCUCUUUCACCGGUGAAGAUAAUGACGGUAACCGGAGAAGAAGCCCCGGCUAACUUCGUGCCAGCAGCCGCGGUAAUACGAAGGGGGCUAGCGUUGUUCGGAUUUACUGGGCGUAAAGCGCACGUAGGCGGACUAUUAAGUCAGGGGUGAAAUCCCGGGGCUCAACCCCGGAACUGCCUUUGAUACUGGUAGUCUUGAGUUCGAGAGAGGUGAGUGGAAUUCCGAGUGUAGAGGUGAAAUUCGUAGAUAUUCGGAGGAACACCAGUGGCGAAGGCGGCUCACUGGCUCGAUACUGACGCUGAGGUGCGAAAGCGUGGGGAGCAAACAGGAUUAGAAACCCUUGUAGUCCCAUG
rnacentral:rRNA from 1 species